rnacentral:rRNA from 1 species
UACAGAGGGUGCGAGCGUUGUUCGGAAUUAUUGGGCGUAAAGGGCGCGUAGGCGGCGCCACAAGUCACUUGUGAAAACUCGAGGCUCAACCUCGAGACGUCGGUUGAAACCGUACGGCUAGAGUCCGGAAGAGGAGAGUGGAAUUCCCGGUGUAGCGGUGAAAUGCGCAGAUAUCGGGAAGAACACCCGUGGCGAAGGCGGCUCUCUGGGACGGUACUGACGCUGAGACGCGAAAGCGUGGGGAGCGAACAGG